CUCAUGGCAGAGGACACCACUGUUAAUAGCAUCUGCUGCAUGCUCAUCAUUCUGUACACUCAGCUGUCCACGUUGCUGCUACUGUCCCCAUCUCAUAGCAUCAGACUCUCUUCCUACUGUCCAGAAAGGCUAGGACCUGAGCUGCUGGGGCCAAGACUUCCUCCUUCUCCUCUUCCUGAUCCUGGCAGCCAGCACGGUGCCUGAAACACAGGAGAUGUUCAGUAAAUGCUGGAGGGAAGGAGGGCAAUACAAGAAGAUACUGGAAAGGAAAACAUGAAAGAUGUGA
ensembl:lncRNA